rnacentral:rRNA from 2 species
GGCGGCGUGCUUAACACAUGCAAGUCGAGCGGAAAGGCCCUUCGGGGUACUCGAGCGGCGAACGGGUGAGUAACACGUGAGCAACCUGCCCUAGGCUUUGGGAUAACCCCGGGAAACCGGGGCUAAUACCGAAUAGGACCUGGCCUCGCAUGAGGCUGGGUGGAAAGUUUUUCGGCCUGGGAUGGGCUCGCGGCCUAUCAGCUUGUUGGUGGGGUGAUGGCCUACCAAGGCGACGACGGGUAGCCGGCCUGAGAGGGCGACCGGCCACACUGGGACUGAGACACGGCCCAGACUCCUACGGGAGGCAGCAGUGGGGAAUAUUGCACAAUGGGCGGAAGCCUGAUGCAGCGACGCCGCGUGAGGGAUGACGGCCUUCGGGUUGUAAACCUCUUUCAGCAGGGACGAAGCGUAAGUGACGGUACCUGCAGAAGAAGCGCCGGCCAACUACGUGCCAGCAGCCGCGGUAAGACGUAGGGCGCGAGCGUUGUCCGGAUUUAUUGGGCGUAAAGAGCUCGUAGGCGGCUUGUCGCGUCGACUGUGAAAACCCGCAGCUCAACUGCGGGCCUGCAGUCGAUACGGGCAGGCUAGAGUUCGGUAGGGGAGACUGGAAUUCCUGGUGUAGCGGUGAAAUGCGCAGAUAUCAGGAGGAACACCGGUGGCGAAGGCGGGUCUCUGGGCCGAUACUGACGCUGAGGAGCGAAAGCGUGGGGAGCGAACAGGAUUAGAUACCCUGGUAGUCCACGCUGUAAACGUUGGGCGCUAGGUGUGGGGGGCCUCUCCGGUUCCCUGUGCCGCAGCUAACGCAUUAAGCGCCCCGCCUGGGGAGUACGGCCGC